CAGUCAGUCCCUCUGGUGAAAUAGUGGAGGGCAGUUCAGUGACUCUGACCUGCAGCAGUGAUGCCAACCCACCUGUGCACAAAUACACCUGGACAAGAAGAAGGUAACCUCACCAAAAGCAUCAGGACAGAGUUACAGCAUCACUAACAUCAUCUCUGAGGACAGAGGAGAAUACUACUGUGAGGCUGAGAAUACAAUAGCAUCUAAUAACUCUACUACUCUGAAGAUCAUCGUAGCAGGGAAACAAACAUCAGUUCUGACUGCAGCUGUAGGAAUCAUAGUGGUUGUUCUGGUUCUCAUCCUCUGUCUCUCUGGCUUCAUGUGGUUCAGGAGAUCCACAGGAGGAAGUGAUGUCACAGCAGACACAGAGAGUGUCCAUCCAGACCCUAACAGUGACCCUAACAGUGACAUGUACUCACCUCUGAACAUGAAUACCAGGUCACCAGAGUAUGACACCCUGACAAAUGUGAGGGACUCCCCUAGUGACACAGUCCCUCAGAUAGAUGCUGAGCCCUCAGAUUAUGAGAACUGAAGAGAACCACCACAGAACCUGGACUGAA